GAUGAACGCUGGCGGCGUGCCUAAUACAUGCAGGUCGAGCGAACGGACGAGAAGCUUGCUUCUCUGAUGUUAGCGGCGGACGGGUGGGUAACACGUGGAUAACCUACCUAUAAGACUGGGAUAACUUCGGGAAACCGUAGCUAAUACCGGAUAAUAUUUUGAACCGCAUGGUUCAAAAGUGAAAGACGGUCUUGCUGUCACUUAUAGAUGGAUCCGCGCUGCAUUAGCUAGUUGGUAAGGUAACGGCUUACCAAGGCAACGAUGCAUAGCCGACCUGAGAGGGUGAUCGGCCACACUGGAACUGAGACACGGUCCAGACUCCUACGGGAGGCAGCAGUAGGGAAUCUUCCGCAAUGGGCGAAAGCCUGACGGAGCAACGCCGCGUGAGUGAUGAAGGUCUUCGGAUCGUAAAACUCUGUUAUUAGGGAAGAACAUAUGUGUAAGUAACUGUGCACAUCUUGACGGUACCUAAUCAGAAAGCCACGGCUAACUACGUG
rnacentral:rRNA from 1 species